rnacentral:rRNA from 1 species
GCAAGAUCAGGCCUAACACAUUGCCAGUCGAGCGGAAACCGAUGGGAGCUUGCUCCCAGGCGUCGAGCGGCGGACGGGUGAGUAACACUUAGGAAUCUACCUAGUAGUGGGGGAUAGCUCGGGGAAACUCGAAUUAAUACCGCAUACGUCCUAUCGGGAGAAAGGGGGCAACUUGUUGCCUCUCGCUAUUAGAUUGGAGCCUAAGUCGGAUUAGCUAGUUGGUGGGGUAAAGGGCCUACCCAAGGCGACGAUCCUGUAGCUGGUCUUGGAGAGGAUGAAUUCAGCCCACAACCGGGACUGAGACACGGGCCCGGACUCCUACCGGGAGGCAGCAAGUGGGGAAUAUUGGACAAUGGGGGCAACCCUGAUCCAGCCAUGCCGCGUGUGUGAAGAAGGCCUUUUGGUUGUAAAGCACUUUAAGCAGUGAAGAAGACCAUAUGGUUAAUACCCAUAUGCGAUGACAUUAGCUGCAGAAUAAGCACCGGCUAGCUCUUGUGCCAGCAGCCGCGGUAAUACAGACGGGUGCAAGCGUUAAUCGGAAUUACUGGGCGUAAAGCGAGCGUAGGUGGCUUGAUAAGUCAGAUGUGAAAUCCCCGGGCUUAACCUGGGAACUGCAUCUGAUACUGUCAGGCUAGAAUAGGUGAGAGGAAGGUAGAAUUCCAGGUGUAGCGGUGAAAUGCGUAGGGAUCUGGAGGAAUACCGAUGGCGAAGGCAGCCUUCUGGCAUCAUAUUGACACUGAGGUUCGAAAGCGUGGGUAGCAAACAGGAUUAGAUACCCUGGUAGUCCACGCCGUAAACGAUGUCUACUAGUCGUUGGGUCCCUUGAGGACUUAGUGACGCAGCUAACGCAAUAAGUAGACCCGCCUGGGGAGUACGGCCGCAAGGUUAAAACUAGAAAUGAAUUGACGGGGGCCCGCACAAGCGGUGGAGCAUGUGGUUUAAUUCGAUGCAACGCGAAGAACCUUACCUGGUCUUGAACAUAUCUAGAAUCCUGCAGAGAUGCGGGAGUGCCUUCGGGAAUUAGAAUACAGGUGCUGCAUGGCUGUCGUCAGCUCGUGUCGUGAGAUGUUGGGUUAAGUCCCGCAACGAGCGCAACCCUUGUCCUUAGUUACCAGCGGUUUGUCCGGGAACUCUUAAGAUACUGCCAGUGACAAACUGGAGGAAGGCGGGGACGACGUCAGUCCAUCCAUGGCCU